AGGCCCCGCCCCCCCUUCACGGAGCUUCUCCUAGCCAGCUUUCUUGGUUGCACGUGAAGUUGUUGUAGUUCGCCCUCAUGUGACCUCGGACGUGCGGACACAUUAGGCCCCGCCUCCAAGAUGGCGGCGCCCAUAAGCAUGGGUCCGUAACCCUCCUCUGCUCAUCUGCUCAGCCCCGAUUUGUAGCUUUGACCGUGUCUGCGGGGCCAUGGAUCGGCCUGGAUUCACAACCUCGCUGGUGGCUGGUGGAGUAGCAGGUGUCUCUGUUGAUUUGAUAUUAUUUCCUCUGGAUACCAUUAAAACGAGGCUACAGAGUCCCCAAGGAUUUAAUAAGGCUGGUGGUUUUCGUGGAAUAUAUGCUGGCGUUCCUUCUGCUGCUAUCGGAUCCUUUCCUAACGCUGCUGCCUUUUUUAUCACCUAUGAAUAUGUGAAAUGGUUUUUGCACUCUGAUUCAUCUUCAUAUUUGAUGCCUGCAAAGCAUAUGUUGGCUGCCUCUGCUGGAGAAGUGGUUGCCUGCCUGAUUCGAGUUCCUUCUGAAGUAGUUAAGCAGAGGGCACAGGUUUCAGCUUCUUUGAGAACAUUUCAAAUUUUCUCAAACAUCUUAUAUCAAGAGGGUAUCCAAGGAUUGUAUCGAGGCUACAAAAGCACGGUUUUAAGAGAGAUUCCUUUCUCACUGGUCCAGUUUCCCUUGUGGGAGUCCCUAAAAGCCCUCUGGUCCUGGAGGCAGGAUCAUGUGGUGGAUUCUUGGCAGUCAGCAGUCUGUGGAGCUUUUGCAGGUGGGUUUGCAGCUGCAGUCACCACGCCUCUGGAUGUGGCAAAAACAAGAAUCAUGUUAGCAAAGGCUGGUUCCAGCACUGCUAGUGGGAAUGUACUCUCUGCCCUGCAUGGGGUCUGGCGGACACAGGGGCUGUCAGGAUUAUUUGCAGGUGUCUUUCCUCGAAUGGCAGCAAUCAGUCUGGGAGGUUUCAUCUUUCUUGGUGCUUAUGACCAAACUCGCAGCUUGCUGUUAGAACUUGGCAAAGAGAGCCCAUGAAUCACAGACGGCCCCGCAUCCACUUCUUUCAAGAAGGAAGACUGCUGUGAGAACUGUCUCCCUUCCGGGGAGCAGCUGUUCAGCCAUCUGAACAACAAAACACAGAGCUAAAAUCCAAUUCUGCUAAGAUUACGACAUGGAGAAUGUGUCUUCCAUGCUACAGGCUAGCUGGAAUGAUGUUGUUAGCCUGUUUGCCAAAAAAGAAGUGUCCAGCAGCCCAUGUGGUGUGUGAAAGAAAGCAGCUGCAGCUCGAGUGACUAGGUGUGUCCUCUGAGGAAGCUGAGCCACACUCUCCUCUUCUCCAUAUCAGACCGAAAGGAAGGGCUGGGGCCGGUUCUGCAAACAGUGCUGUUUCUUGGUCUCUAAUCAGUAAGCUCUGUUGCCUGGAGUUCUAAGCUCAACACUGGAAACAGAAGGGAUGAAAAGGGAAGGUCACCAUUUUAGAGCUUGACUAAUGAGCUCCAGGUGUUACAAAAAUUCAGAAUCUCAAGAAUCUGGUGGUGUCGUGCCUUCCCUGGAGCCAUAGUAUAUGAUUCUGCUUCGCCUAAAUUUUUUUCCUUUUUGAGACAAAAAGGUAAUUAAAGGCAGAAUGACUGCAUCUGUGAGGGGAUCUCUGGAAUUCAGUGGGAUGAAACAAUGGUGGUUAAUGUAGGUAGAAUGACUUGAGCCACACGGUUAACAUUUAUAAAUGAACCUUUAUUAAAGACACUUCAAUGCCAUUUGUUAGACACUUCAAUAUUUUACAUGUUUUUCAAUGUACAUUGUACCAAAAUUUCUAUAAAUAAAUAACUUUGUACAUAAAAGUAA